GCUGAUCCCAGCCUGGACUCUGAGCCCCGGGAGAUGUCUGGGCCGUGGCCCGUAGCUGGGGUCUUGGCCUCUGCCCGGGGUGGGGGAGUUCAGGGAAGCCACCCCCUCAGAGCGUCCCACUGGGCUGUCAGGAAGGAAGCGUGUUGUCAGGACAGCAAAGCCAGAAGGGCGCUCAGCGGGGUUAGGGGGUUGGGGGGGGUCUCCCCAGCUGUGCGGACUCAGCGCAAGUUCAUCCAGGGUGCCUCUCGUGAGGGAGGGAGCCAGCGUCGCGUUGCGGUGGAGAUUGAACCCAGGGCCUUCACACUGAGCUAUGCCGCCCUUCAUUUGGAGACAGGAUCUCACUAAGUGGCCCAGACAUUCAUCUUGCUGUCCCCUCCUUUCUGGAGUUAAGACAGCAAAGCCAGGGUGCUUAGGGAGGCUUCACACACGCAGGCCUGGCGGGGGACCACCAGCCCAGCUGGAGCCAAGCAAUGCCCAGCAGCAGAUGGCGCUGUCUCUGAAGACUCCUC
rnacentral:lncRNA from 1 species